AUUGAACGCUGGCGGCAGGCUUAACACAUGCAAGUCGAGCGGAGAUGAGGUGCUUGCACCUUAUCUUAGCGGCGGACGGGUGAGUAAUGCUUAGGAAUCUGCCUAUUAGUGGGGGACAACAUUCCGAAAGGAAUGCUAAUACCGCAUACGUCCUACGGGAGAAAGCAGGGGAUCUUCGGACCUUGCGCUAAUAGAUGAGCCUAAGUCGGAUUAGCUAGUUGGUGGGGUAAAGGCCUACCAAGGCGACGAUCUGUAGCGGGUCUGAGAGGAUGAUCCGCCACACUGGGACUGGGACACGGCCCAGACUCCUACGGGAGGCAGCAGUGGGGAAUAUUGGACAAUGGGGGGAACCCUGAUCUAGCCAUGCCGCGUGUGUGAAGAAGGCCUUAUGGUUGUAAAGCACUUUAAGCGAGGAGGAGGCUACUGAGACUAAUACUCUUGGAUAGUGGACGUUACUCGCAGAAUAAGCACCGGCUAACUCUGUGCCAGCCGCCGCAGUAACAC
rnacentral:rRNA from 1 species